GAUGAACGCUGGCGGCGUGCCUAAUACAUGCAAGUAGAACGCUGAAGGAAGGAGCUUGCUCUUUCCGGAUGAGUUGCGAACGGGUGAGUAACGCGUAGGUAACCUGCCUGGUAGCGGGGGAUAACUAUUGGAAACGAUAGCUAAUACCGCAUAACAGUAGAUGUUGCAUGAUAUCUACUUAAAAGGUGCAAUUGCACCACUACCAGAUGGACCUGCGUUGUAUUAGCUAGUUGGUGAGGUAACGGCUCACCAAGGCGACGAUACAUAGCCGACCUGAGAGGGUGAUCGGCCACACUGGGACUGAGACACGGCCCAGACUCCUACGGGAGGCAGCAGUAGGGAAGCUUCGGCAAUGGACGGAAGUCUGACCGAGCAACGCCGCGUGAGGGAAGAAGGUUGUCGGAUCGUAAAGCUCUGUUGUAAGAGAAGAACGAGUGUGAGAGUGGAAAGUUCACACUGUGACGGUAUCUUACCAGAAAGGGACGGCUAACUACGUG
rnacentral:rRNA from 1 species